GUCUCACAAAAAAUGGUAACACCAUUAUCAAGUGCAAUGCCAUCCAGCCACAUAUUGAACGCUAAACAAAUUCAAAAUAAAUAAGAAGGAAAAAAAAACGUCAGUUUGUUGAAAGCCAACGCAACACAAAAAAUUUUUGUU